UGGCGCUGCAGCGGUUCCCUGCGGACAGGGCAGGCGGGUCGCGCGCUCCUCCUCGGUGGCGAACAGGCCGGAAGUCAAUACCAAAGCUUCUAACUGGGAAUAACGCUGCUUGCCAAGGACCACACACACACCCGCGACAAAAAAAAUUUUUUCUAAACGUUUAAAUUUCACAUAAAAAAGGGGGCCUCUCUGGCGCUCCCCAAAAGAGAGUUCGGAACAAGGGAGGAGGCAAAAGGCACGGCCUCUAAACGCCUGGAUCCUGCAGGAUAUUUAAUCUUUGUGGUUGUUGGUUUUCCUGAGAAAGGGCUCCCUAUGUAACCAAGUCUGGCCUGGUGCUCUCUAUUCUGUACGCACCGAGCUGACUUGGAACUCGUGAUUCUCCUGCCUCUGCCCCCUGAGUAGAGCUAGGCUUGUGCCACCACUUAAGGUUGAGCCUAGCAAUCGAGAUUUACGUGCUAACUAGAAGAAGGAUCUGAUUAGAGUGUAAGGGUCCAUGCAUGAUUCGCUGAAGAAUGAUACCCCAGACCCAAACGGCAACCCCUGUGAAAGGAUCGUUUGACCAUCCCCAAAGGCACUGCAAGCGCAACCCACAAGCUGAAAAAGCAAUGUUCUCCAUGAUGAGUUAGAGUCUAUGGGCUAUGAGACAGCCUGCGAACCAGCCCUGUGCUA
rnacentral:lncRNA from 1 species